GGGUAGGUGCCGGAGUGGUUAAACGGAGCAGUCUGUAAAACUGCCGCCUUAUGGCUACGAGGGUUCGCCCCGCAUCCGCG
rnacentral:tRNA from 1 species